CAGUAGCCGCGGUAAUACGUAGGGUGCAAGCGUUGUCCGGAAUUAUUGGGCGUAAAGAGCUCGUAGGCGGUUUGUCGCGUCUGCUGUGAAAUCCCGAGGCUCAACCUCGGGCUUGCAGUGGGUACGGGCAGACUAGAGUGCGGUAGGGGAGAUUGGAAUUCCUGGUGUAGCGGUGGAAUGCGCAGAUAUCAGGAGGAACACCGAUGGCGAAGGCAGAUCUCUGGGCCGUAACUGACGCUGAGGAGCGAAAGCGUGGGGAGCGAACAGGAUUAGAUACCCCCGUAGUCCCUGUCUCUUAUAC
rnacentral:rRNA from 1 species